UUAAAUUGAAGAGUUUGAUCAUGGCUCAGAUUGAACGCUGGCGGCAGGCCUAACACAUGCAAGUCGAACGGUAACAGGAAGCAGCUUGCUGCUUCGCUGACGAGUGGCGGACGGGUGAGUAAUGUCUGGGAAACUGCCUGAUGGAGGGGGAUAACUACUGGAAACGGUAGCUAAUACCGCAUAACGUCG
rnacentral:rRNA from 1 species